GAAGAUAUCAUGUUGCAAAAACCAUCAGCAAAGCCACCAAAGAAGCCACCAGGCCAAAAACCAGGGCCUCCAAAUCCAGGGCCCCAGGGACCUCCCGGCCCCGGACCAAAGCCGCCAGGUCCCCCUGGACCAGGACCCCAGCCUCCAGGCCCCCCUGGACCAGGACCCCAGCCUCCAGGCCCCCCUGGUCCUCCUGGCCCUCCUGGCCCUCCUCCCGGUCCACCAGGUCCCAUUGCUGUUAAUAGCUUUCUAGUCCGUCUUCAGUCUACACCACUUCCCACCACCGGCAAGCGUUGCCAAAGAGAAUAUCAAGUCUGCAAACGCAGGACGGUAAAAGAUAGAAAUAUCAAGAGCCGAUCCUCCUCCUGAAAAUAUUUUCAAAACUCUGCGAACAAGUUUGGACGCAUUAUGCAGAAA
rnacentral:lncRNA from 1 species